GGCACGGUUCACAUAUGAGAGCAGUUAAUCAUUAUAUAUACUACUAGUAGAAAUAUGUUAGGUGAGGGAAAUCAAAAAUAAGGACAAACGGCUUGAUAAAUAAAAUAAUAAGAUUAAUCUACAUGAAAUUAGGCAGCUCAUUAGCUAAGUAUGUAGUCCACUUUGACCAUGAAAUGGAACACGGCUGUGGUUUUUCACAACGGACAAAAGAGAGAACGAAGGAUACUAUCAAGAAGCAGAACGACUGUAAUAAAUGAUAAUAAAUUGGACGUGAAUCGGAUUUCCUCCCAAGGGAAAGGAAACCCUUUCAAGUACGAAGGCAACAUGAACGAGUAGACGAGGAAGUCGGAGGCAUCAGCAUCACAAAGUGUAGAUUAUGGCAAAGUGACAUAGAGAUAAAAGUGGGGGAAACGUCCAACGCACAUGUAAACCGCCGGGGAAGUGAAUUCCAAAGGGAUAAAUAAGAUGAAUAGGAGAGAUGGCAAAAAAUAAGAUUUAAUAGCGUACAAAUGGGCAAGUUGAGAAGGUAGCUCCAAAAGAAAGGCUGGUAAUAGGUAGUGUAAGUACAAAUUUGCCGCUAGGCUAGUUGCAAUGUAGAGAAUAGAGGCGUUAGAAUUGAAAUACACUAAAAUGUCCCGAGACGAAGGCAGGUAGCGAACAACGGAACAAAUGAUCAAGGCAAGUGACCAAAUAAAAGUCGUAG
rnacentral:sRNA from 1 species